UAGCAAUUUCCUAAUUGCGUUGGUAGCC
rnacentral:sRNA from 1 species